CUCCAAUUGUGGGGCCAUCGUUCGGCAUUGCUGUUAUUCGCAAUCCAGCAGUUGUCGCGAUCGGAAGCCCUAAAAUCGGAAUAACUCCUCAUCGAAAACCCGUUUCUUGCCGAAACAAUAGUGGAGUGCCUAGCUAUCGAAGAUAAUUAAAUUGGCGAUUGUGUGCGUGUGCUAAGGAUAACAAUGUUGCCCUUUCGUUGGGCUUUCGUCGGCAUCGCGCUGUUGAUUGCAGCUACAAAUGGAGCAGUUAUA